CCCCCAAAAGGACAUCCCUCAACAAAAGAAAAUUCAUAACUAAAUGCUUUGGAGAAGCAUUCUGUGGCCUUUGCCGUCGCCGACCGUUAUUGCUGCAAGCCGAUUCUUCUCCACCUCCCUCAAAGAAGAAGAUCUAGAAUGAAGCUCAUGGCCGAUCUCCGAAUCGACGAAGAGUCUUCAAAGUUUAAGGAGUCCAUAAAUGGCGGACAUGCUAUUGAUUCGUUGAAUGCAUCGGUCAACGACAAAUUAUCGUCUCCUCCUCGUCGCCAGGAUCUGACGCCAAUUUCCUCACCAGCAAACUCCAAAUGACGCACAACAAAUCCAAAGGAGGUUCAGAAUACACCAACCUAAACACACGGGAAGGUGGACAACUAAACUUACAAGUAAAGCCCUGGCAUACGCGCAUCCACAGAACGGCCUUGGAGGGACAAAAUAUUGAUGGAUGACUCUCCAUCUCCAUCGAAACAUCCGCCCGCUGCCAUGUUAUGGUUUACAAGGCCAGCGUCGUUGUUGAUGAAGUGGGCCCCCACGGCACAGAGAAGAACAUGAAGAAAUCCAACACCGACGUAGAGAAAAACAUCGAUGACAUACUCGUCGGUAUUGAAACCCCCGCAAAAGAUGUCGUCGUUGAGCACUGCACACACACCAGCCAUCGUCAAGACUUGCUCACCUCGGAUGAAGACGACGGUAGAGAAGCUCUAGAUGAAGCAAAAGAUUACUGGCGACUUUCUCACGGGAUAAAAUCCAACCCUAACCUACCUAAAACUACUCUAAAAGAGAGGGAUAUGUAGACCACCCAUCGGAUCCACGGCUCUCCCUGCUCACCGACGACACAAAGGUCAUCGGAGGCGAGGGAAAGCCAGCGAAUCCGGCGGUGGAACAGUCAUCGCCUCAAAGUCAUCCUUUCUUACUGUUUGUAAGAGUCGAGUGUGUUCCCUCAACAGCCUGCUCUCCUCUAACUGAAACUGGGACUUGGGAGCAUGUCGAAGCAGUAUGAAGAACUAAAGAUCAAAGACGUCAGCUUCAGAUGGAGCCUUCAGGCGUGUUUGGCAGCCUGCAUGGCCUCAGCCUGGCCUGUGAGCCAGGCUCGAGCCAGAUGGAACAGGCUCAUGAGAUGCAGAGAUACUUAUUGGCAAAUUUGCACCUCAUGAUGCUGGCUGGGCUAAGAUGGUGUUUUGUGGUUUGGAUGAAUUGGU
rnacentral:lncRNA from 1 species